AGAGUUUGAUCAUGGCUCAGAACGUACGCUGGCGGCACGCCUAAUACAUGCAAGUCGAACGAAGUAGCAAUACUUAGUGGCAGACGGGUGAGUAACAUGUGGGUAUCUUCCCUUUGGUGAGGAAUAACACGAGGAAACUUGUGCUAAUACCUCAUAAGUCUUUACAGAGAAAGCUUUAUGCGCCAAUGGAUGAGCCCGCACUUGAUUAGUUUGUUGGUGAGGUAAUGGCUCACCAAGACUUUGAUCAAUAGCUGAUUUGAGAGGAUGAUCAGCCACAUUGGGACUGAGACACGGCCCAAACUCCUACGGGAGGCAGCAGUAGGGAAUCUUGCACAAUGGGGGAAACCCUGAUGCAGCGAUGCCGCGUGAGUGAAGAAGGCCUUUGGGUUGUAAAGCUCUUUCGUCGGGGAAGAAAAUGACUGUACCCGAAUAAGAAGGUCCGGCUAACUUCGUGCCAGCAGCCGCGGUAAUACGAAGGGACCUAGCGUAGUUCGGAAUUACUGGGCUUAAAGAGUUCGUAGGUUGUUAAAAAAGUUGGUGGUGAAAUCCCAGAGCUUAACUCUGGAACUGCCAUCAAAACUUUUUAGCUAGAGUUUGAUAGAGGAAAGCAGAAUUUCUAGUGUAGAGGUGAAAUUCGUAGAUAUUAGAAAGAAUACCGAUUGCGAAGGCAGCUUUCUGGAUCAUUACUGACACUGAGGAACGAAAGCAUGGGUAGCGAAGAGGAUUAGAUACCCUCGUAGUCCAUGCCGUAAACGAUGUGUGUUAGACGUUGGAAAUUUAUUUUCAGUGUCGCAGCGAAAGCAAUAAACACACCGCCUGGGGAGUACGACCGCAAGGUUAAAACUCAAAAUGAAUUGACGGGGACCCGCACAAAGUAGUGGAGCAUGUGGUUUAAUUCGAAGAUACGCGCAGAACCUUACCAACACUUGACAUGUCUCGUCGCGACUUUAAGAGAUUAAAGUUUUCGGUACGGCCGGACGAAACACAGGUGCUGCAUGGCUGUCGUCAGCUCGUGUCGUGAGAUGUUGGGUUAAGUCCCGCAACGAGCGCAACCCUCACUUUUAGUUGCCAUCAUUUAGUUGGGCACUCUGAAAGAACUGCCAGUGAUAAGCUGGAGGAAGGUGGGGAUGACGUCAAGUCCUCAUGGCCCUUACGUGUUGGGCUACACACGUGCUACAAUGGCAUUUACAACAGGAAGCAAAACGGCGACGUUAAGCAAAUCCUAAAAAAAUGCC
rnacentral:rRNA from 1 species